rnacentral:rRNA from 1 species
GACGAACGCUGGCGGCGUGCUUAACACAUGCCAGUCGAACGGAAAGGCCUAGCUUGCUGGGUACUCGAGUGGCGAACGGGUGAGUAACACGUGGGUGAUCUGCCCCUGACUUUGGGAUAAGCCUGGGAAACUGGGUCUAAUACCGGAUAUUCAUUUUUCCUCGCAUGGGGAUUUGUGGAAAGCUUUUGCGGUUGGGGAUGGGCCCGCGGCCUAUCAGCUUGUUGGUGGGGUAAUGGCCUACCAAGGCGACGACGGGUAGCCGACCUGAGAGGGUGAUCGGCCACACUGGGACUGAGACACGGCCCAGACUCCUACGGGAGGCAGCAGUGGGGAAUAUUGCACAAUGGGCGCAAGCCUGAUGCAGCGACGCCGCGUGAGGGAUGACGGCCUUCGGGUUGUAAACCUCUUUCAGCUCCGACGAAGCGCAAGUGACGGUAGGAGCAGAAGAAGCACCGGCCAACUACGUG